CAUGAAUGGUCAACGACUUGGACCGAUACACAAAGCCUAAUUGCAAAAUGGUUAAAGUUGUUGAUGACAGACAUCAACCAAGACUCUGUCUGUAUGCAACUGAAAUGAUCAGCAAAGACACUGAAUUGAGGUACGAUUAUGGUGUUGCUGAUGUACCUUGGAGAAAGCGAAAGAUGCUGUUAAAGAUGGUCAUACAGCUGCAGAUACUACAGAGGUCACAGAAACAUCUGAAGAUGCCCUCGGUGAAUCAGCAGAAGUCUUGGAACAUGCUUAUCAUGAUGCUGUAGGGAACAGUUGGACAGUUGCCCCAUCCACAGUUGUCUCUGAACAUGCUGAAGGGCCGCCUCAAGCAAUGUUCAAGAUUUGACCCAGGAGCAGCUACAGUAUUAUGGUUGAUCAGAGUGAGAGGCAUCUGCGGAAAAUAUUUGGAGGAUAUAUUCUCUGCGAGAGACAUAUUGCAUUCAAGCAGGAAGGAAGAAGCAAAAGUAUAUAAUAUAGACUGAACCGAGAAUGUUGCAGUUUGAAACACUUUCAAUGCAUUUCAGAUGCUGUUAAGACGAUUAUACAGUUGCAGAAACAACAG